UCUUCUGAUCUCUGUCGAUUGUUCUCGACUGUCCAAGGGUCGUUCACAGGCUGUGCGUGGCAAUCGUUAGAGCGUCGUACACACCGAUUCUUAACGGAUCGGUUGAAAUUUUCGCUUAGAUUUCUCUCUUAACAAAUCGUUGUGUUUUUGAUGUUUUAGUUUUUACUUCGGAGUUUUGUGCGGAUUACGUUAGAACGUUCGAAAAAUUCGUGCUGCGAUUUUAUUAUCUUCAGUUUACUUGAAUGGACAUAUUUUGUCACUCUGCUACAAUUGUGGAUCUUCUGUAACAUAGUCCUUUCUUGCUUGAUUAUUCUUUUGAGUAUUAUGAACGGUGACAAAAUUCAUUUUUGUUACGUUAUGCAGUUUUGAAAAGGAGCCGGUGUUGCUGAAGUGUCAAAAUUUAUUUCCAUCUGGAGGGAAAAUGUUAUGUUUAGUCCUGGCAUAACUCUUUGGCGAAACAAAGUUUCUAGGAACUGGAAUUUUUUUUCUAGUGUGUACUAAUCAUUAAAAUCAAUAAAAUUAGUAAAGAAAAAUCUGAAGAAAUAAAAGAAAUAAAAAUUGGUUAAAAAUAGCAGUAUCACAUUAAUAAUAAAAUAAAUAAAGAAGCCAAAGCAAUUUUAGCCAAGUUUUCGUGGACCUCCAAAUUCCAAAUGAGCUGGACCUCCUCAUUAGACUUCACAGAAUAAUUAUCAGCCUCCAUUCAACGUAGGAAGUGUAUUUUUCUUUCUUCCUACGAGGCAUCCGUGCAAAAUAUUAAAUAAAACCGAUUACUCAAUUAUACAAGAAAUUUAAGUGCUUUUCGAGCAAAGUUCCUUCUUCGAAUUUUGGAAUUCAUUGUUUAAGGCGACGUCUUUAAUGCGUAUCGUGGCUAAGCAAAUACUUGUGCCCAUGUCAACAGUAAAUUAUUCAUUUGUACUAACAUGUACUAACGCGAAUCUGUUAAUGCUAACGAGUACAUAAGUAGGCACGAAUAUUAACUCUCGAUUAGAUGGAUAAUGAAAAGACAAACUACUCUUGAUCGCGUCUCGUUUAAUUAUUUUCGGUGAUUCUACUCUUGAAAGUGCUCUUUUCUAAAUUGAACACUAAAGAAUGUCUUGAGCAAUUUUAACAAAGGCGCAAAUGAAAUUCCAAAGGCAAGUAAAGGUUUGAGAAAUUGUUAAGAAAAUUCCUAUCAGGGACGAUGUAUUGUUUAUAAUCAGCUCACAUUCUCAGAUAUUGGAACGUGCGAAAAUUUCAUGGCAUGUUAAACUUCGGCUUACACUUCGAUCGAAGCGUGUAGUUCUUGUAGUCAUCGAGAAGAUUGUUACAUAAACUCGGUAAUCAGUUAACUGGCUCUCACGUGCAGAAUAUAUGUAAGUCAAAUGUUUUGCAUCGUUCACUAAAGUCAUCUGCCAUUGGAACACGUUUCGGUAUCUGACCGGUAAUACUGCAUGUGUUGAUAGACUAAUUAUCGCUUCCAAUGCAUACGUAUAUGGCAACAAAUUUUCAUUCGUGUCAGGAUAUAAUUAGAAACGUUUUUUAUAUUUUGAUGACUCUUGAAAGUCUUCGACGUAAAGCACUCAUUACAUAUGUUGUUACUUGAAUGAGAAGAAUUAUCACUUUUUUUUUAAGUUUCGAGUUUUGCGCAAAAUUUAAUAAAAGAGAGAAUUUCGAACUUAAUUCGUGAUCAGUAGGUAAUAGGAACGCGUUGUUCUACGAUCAAAUGUAUGUCACGAUCAGUGCUUUCGCCUGGAAAAUCCUUCGUCUACUUUUUCAACACGCCUUCCCUCUCGAAAACAAUAUCCUACGCAAGUUUUUGUUACGCGUAUUUGCGUUAGAAAAUUCCAUCCGAUGGUUAUUUACGUAAACGAGAGAGACAUACCAAGGCCUAGCCUUCGACGUUUUACAUGAUUUUCAUUGAUUUCCUAGCGUUUUAUCACGAAACAUCGCUCCAAUUUUAACGAACGGGGUAAUUCAUAGUUUACUGGCUAGGGACUUCUGUAAAUUUGUAAAUAGGAAGCGUUUCACGGGAGACAUACCAAAUGUUGAACGGUUUAGACACGUACGUAGGAAAGGAAUUACAAAUAAACCCGUUUCCUUGGUAGUAGGACGAAACCUGAUUAAUACCAAGAGAAUAUGUAUUAUUUUUCAGUGGACCGGGGUUAUUGACACUAAAAAGUGAUACUGUUAACAAUAGAAACUAAGACAAUGGUGUUUGACACGUAUUUGAAUGAUUAUUAACCUAGGAUUUUAAAAUUUAUUAUAUAAUGAAACUUUACAUAUUAGAAAUUGUUUUAUAGUUUACGAGAUAUUCUAAUUUAUAGUUUCUUGUUAAUUACCAUACAUAAUCACUGAUUAAUUUAUGCGAACAUUAGCUAAUAAUUACAUCUACAGUGAAGAAUGUACUUACAUUAGAUUCUUCCACUUUUUUACUUGUCUUAAAUAUACAUACACUUAUUUAUACAUCAAUUUCAAUUUCAGUCACAUUAAUAACAGUUUUUUCCUUUCCUCUAAAAUGCCACUUAUUUGAUCAACAAAUAAUGGAAGUGUUACAACUUUAAAUGUCUAAUUAUCUUAUUUUAUCGACCAUUAAUUAGUUUCGUUUUUUUAAUUAAACCAACAGUGUCGGCAACGUGAAAAUUUGAUAAAAAAAAAAAUGCAUCGAUGCAUAGUACGCGUUUCGAGAAAGAUUUGCACCCAACACACGUCAUCGGUCAAUUUAAAUGAUUAGUCGAAGCCCUGAAAUGACCGGUGGAUAACUCGAAGACGGAAGCAUCCAAGGUCUUGAAACUCAUCUAAUAACAUAGGUAGGCGUUUCGUCUUGUUUUUCUUUCUUUUUUCAAUUUGUUCUCUCUUCGCUGCUCGCGACAGGUCGUUCUCGACUUACUAUCAACUCCGAUCUUCGUGAACGAAGGUCCUUGGUUGGCAACGAUCGCGUUUUGUUCUACGUUCAAUGAACUCUCGCACCACGGAUCGUAACGCACUGUCCAAGCGGAUGCUGUUCUCGAGCAUGAACAAAGGACGAGCACUAUGUUCAAUGUAAACUCGCCAUUCGAAUUCACUCAAAUCGAUAUUUAUUCUCGAUUUUCUCGUUACGCCAUUACGUGCGUAGGAUCGAUUAAGCCUUGCUUAUCAUCUCUCAUUCAAUUAUACAGGCUGAUCCAAGCAACAGGUGUAUCAAGAAUCUUCUUUAAAUUGCAGUCUAGCCACCUAUUGCAAGUCAUGCCUCUUUCCUCAAUGAAUUUAAAACAAGAAGCGUUGGAGUACUCAUUAACAUUUGUUUGAAUUUCUAAAUUCAAUUAAAAAAAAAAAAUUAAAAUGAUUUGUUAAGAGUCAAUAUCACAGAGGUUCGUUCGUUUUCCUAUCAUUGCAUACCGGUGGGAAUCUAAAUUACUGUCGAACUCAUUGCAUUUAUGAUCAACCUUCGUAUAAUUGACUAUUACCGAUCUUUCGAGAUCGUAGCCAGGAUCGAAGCUGGUUGGUUUGGAGGUUUUAAAAGAGAAAAGGCAAAUGAGCAUAGGGAAUGUGGUGGCUAUGAAAAUGAAGGAGAGAGGCCAUUGCACCUACCCAACCGCGGAAGGUUUUCAAGGUUGAACGCGGUCCACCUUGCAACAUCAUUUUUACUCGAGUUGUCUGGGCACGCGGUUCAACCUCGGUACUCCUGCUCUAUAAGCCAGAGCACGAAAUAACCGGGAAUCAACAAACAAAGAUAAAUGUUAAAGUUACAUGAAAUAUACUGUUCAAGAAAUUUAAGGGCCAAAAAAUUCUGGCUUCAAGGAAGAUCAAAGUUCAACCACGUAGAAUAGAAACACAAGUCAUAAAAUAAAAUUUAUGAACGGAUAUUAAGGUUUCUUAAAACGAUUCAGAAAACAGGCACGUGUAUAACGAAGGGAGUUCGCAAGGUUCAUCUUUUAAAUUUCAAAUAUUUCAUUGUUUGCGAUUAGAAUCACAAAUAUAGGAAUUAAUUGGGUGGAAAUCAGUGAGGGCAUUGUCUUCCAUAACAUAUCUGUAAUAGCUAGAUCAUCGGUUCAAGAACGUCUCGUGCAGAAUUCUAGGUUCGAAAUUGAUGACGCACCGUGUGCGUCUUAUGCUACCCUUACGAUACUGAAAGAAUGAUUUCAACUUUUAUAAAUGACUAUGCGGUAAAACUGUAGUUUUCAAUGAAAUUUCAAUAUUCUGGAUGAUUCGACAUGUUGGACCAUGAACCGGUGAACGGAACUGUAAAAAAACACCUCGUGGAAAGGUAUGCAUAAAAUUUCGUGAAGCCGUACGAUAGUAUUUUUUUACCGUUAAUCGAAUAGUUGAUCGUUUUGUUCGUCUCUAGUGUUAUUCCUUGAAAUAUCAGAUGUCAUACGUGCACAUUUACUUCCAAUUACCCGAAGUUUUUAUCUAGAAAAUAAAAUCGGUUAGUGAAGAUAAUCGUAGGAAAGAUUCAGAUCAUAAACAUUUUGAUGCAUUUAAUCAGGAUUAAUUGCCCCUUCAUUAUAUUACAGACGUCAAUCCCGUUUUUAUUUCCUAAUUAAGUACAUUAGUUAUUCGUGUUUGUUACACUGUUUAUGCGAGAAAUUACAAUAUCACUUAAAUAACACUUUACGUUUCUUUUGUCUUCUGUAAGAAACAUUUUUUACCCGUCUCAUUUUAAUAUUUUAUCGGAGAUUUCAAUGCAACCAGCUGAAAUUUCCAUCGCAACAAAGAAUUGCAUCUGUUCGAUUUGAAUAGCAGAGCUAAGUUUUACGAGGCGCGCGCUCGAUUAUUUGCAAAAGAAACGUGUCGAUCACGAGGACGGAUCUGGUUAUUUGUAAGAACAAUUGUAAUCCUGUGAUUUGCAUCCUUUUUCCAUUUGUAACUCUUUCAAUCGAGUCUGACAUUAGAAUUACUUAGACAAAGAGAUUUUCUUCAUCCAGGCUGGUGCAUCGGUCGUACUACGCAAACAGUUCGAAGAAUAGCAAACGAUAGAUAAUUUUUUCUUGAUCAAACAGACGUUACUGAGACGUCUUGCGUAAUGUUAUAUCAUUCGUUUAUCGAUUUUUCUUCGUCAUGUGAGCACACUACUACGUAAAUAAAAAUAUUCUUACAUACUGUCGUAAGAAAAUUUGCUGCAGAAACAUUAUUUAAAUAAUCAACCGCGGAAUUAUUUUGCAAAGUAUUCAAAUCAGUCUAUGUUAAUAAUCAGAAACCGAAAUAAUUCCGUGCGAAACUGUUUGGUUAUUCAAACGUAUGAAGGUAUUAUAGAUUCUCCGGUCAGGCGAAAUGAUUUAUCACCUAAAUGGUCAUAUUAUAAUAAUUAUAUUCAAAUAAUAUUCAAGCCUGAUUUUACAGUAUCCUUCGAUCUAGUAGAAAGGAAAGUUCCAUGUAAACAACACCGAAAAGAAAUGUUUGAUCCAGGCCCUUCACGUAUAGAUUUGCAUUUACAUCGAUUAAUAUUCAAGUAAGCCAGACCCAGGGCCGGUCCUGGUUUGAUCCGAGAGGAUAAAAAGUAUCUAGAAUGAUGAUGACGAUGAUGAUGCAUCUCCGGGAAAGGCCUCCGGAUCAGCUUGUCGAAAUAAAGAAGAAUAUAAGUAAGAGGAAGAUAAUUCUGUAAAAGGAAUUUCAUUUUUGUCCUUCCUUGCAGUCGACCUUGGCCAUGCUAUUCUUCGACCUGCUAAUUUUUUUAUACUUUAGACAUGGAUGAAAGUAAAAUUUUGUUAGUCUGUGAUUCUUUGAGUUGCUAUUCAAUUUACCUUUCCAUCUCGUCGGUGUUAACUAUGUAUACUUUGACACUCGACAAUUUUUGCCUUGUUAGAGGCAGAAUACAUAGUAGAGAAUUAUAUGGCAUUAAAAAGUCUAAAUGCUUUCCACAGUGUUAUUAAAUAAUUUGCCGCAGUUAUUAUGAUAUUAGUUAUACACCAUUAGUUAUUGAGCUACAUUUAUCAAUAAUUUCAUGUUUUAUUUUUGCAAUUAAAUAUGCAUAUCCACUGUCAAUUAUGCAAAUAAAAAUAAUUUACUUGAGCGAGUUUUAUACGAUCUAUUCUCGAUCUUCUUGCUUCCGUACAAAAGAUCGGUUGUUUUUAAUUAACGUAAUUUUUUUCGAAAAUUGAAUCCCGUUAGUCGAUAUAACGUAUUAUGAAGUAUCAGCUUGCAUAACGAUCAAUGGAAUCGUCAAAAAACUUGUUUCAAACCAGAACCGUUACUGAAUUUUAAUCUAAUAAUUCUGAAAGAAUGGGUUCAAUCGCAAUUUAUUUACAUAUGUAGAAUUUGUUUUUCUCGAAUUUCCAAAAAAAAUAACCCUAAAAUCGCAACGAGAGAAGCAGACAAAAACUAGUAGACUUUGCUCGAAAUAAAAUAAGAAAAAAUAGUAUGAUGGUAUCAAAUUCCGAUGAACUAGUUUUUGCUCAGGCUGUUCCAUCAUUUUGCAAAAGCAACAUUUUGAAACUCUAACAUUGAACUCUAGAAUUUGCAUGGGAAUCAAACGGGUACUCCCCCGUUUUCGUGCAUAAUUCAUAAAAUAUUAAAGACGUAGAAAGAUGUAUCCGAAGUGCUACAGAUUUGUGUUGGUAAAAUUUUCCAAAUUUUAUUCUAAAUGAAUCGUAUAAAGUGCACACAUGGGUCGAUUGAAUUUAUCUUGACCGUAUAAAGGUUAACUUAUAUUGUAUUCUAAUGGACGAAAAGACCAAGUUCAUAUGAAGAUUGGAUGGUACGAAGCAAAGAAAUUAUAAUAAUCGUUAGGUAUCAAGAGGUCAAGCACGUGGCCUCAAAUGCUUAAUUGCAUGUAAAGAGGUGUUACGUCAAUUCGGCGUUCUUUGAAAAUUAUUAACAAGGUAAUUAAAAUUGAUCAAACUGAUCCAAUUGAUUCAUUAAUAAAUUCUCUUAGAUAUGUUUAUUAUCAGCGCUAACGUAAAUCAAUGAAAAAAAAAAAAAAAAAAAAAUAGCAAAGAAUUAAUCGUUUUUGCGAAGAAAGUAAUCGAUAAUUAAAAUAAACAUUUGCGGAUAAAAUAGAAGUGUAGAGGGUGACCUAUUUUAAUGAAUGAAAUUAUGUUGGAUAGAUCAAAAUGUUUAUAAAGUUCGAUAGAUGUACACGUGAAAAAAAACUUCAGGGUCAACUUCUUUUUCUUAAAUGGAAUCGUACAAUCUAUUUUUUUUCUCCUUUUAAUUAGUGCCAAUCGAUUCUACGCAUUAAAGGAUGAAGGCUAUGAAUUUAAACAUCGAUUUCUUCUACAAUGUUCCAUUACUUAUCCUUUCUCAAGAGUAACAACUCUUGAAUUGAUUUUUUAAUAGGAAUUCAUAAAAGAUGAUUAUCACCGAGAGCAAUUACCAUUUUUCUUUCGUGUGCAAGUGACUGAAACAAUAUGUUUUUCCUCAUGAAUGCGCUUAUAAAGACAUACAACUUUGUAUCUUGAUCUUAAUUUAUUGGUUUUUAAUAGGAAUAACCGGACGGUACAUCGACACGAACGCAUCGGCGUUGUGCCAUUGUUUAGAAUGGUAUUUUCCAAGCUUUUACGUCAGUGAAUGCAAAAUCAGGUAAACUGAGGUCACCAAGCGUUAACAAAACAUCUGUCGCAAGUCUUAUUUUGCUUUUUCUAUCACUAGCGUUCCAUCGUCUUCGAUCAUAUUCUUUGAUUAUAAUUAUAUUAUUUGUGAAUCCUUCAGGAUGAUUUUUAUUACGAGCAUACGACUGCUUUCGAUACUUUCGAAUGGUAUUAAGAAUUUUUUUAAAUAUGCAAAUAGCAUAAUAAAAAAUAAUCUAUAAACACGAUAAAAAACCUUCUUUUUACAUUCGUCAAAUAAAUUUUUAUUUGUUUUUCGCAAGAACGCGAACGAUCGUAAAAAAUGGGGACCAUUUCCGGUGACAAUUCGAAAAGAAAGAUGUAAUAUCGUGAAAAUAAGAGUCGUGUUUCGUUUGGGCCGGUGUUAAAUUGUUGCAAUCGCUCUAAUGACGGUCGUAAGAUGAGAAUUGUUAUUGUCCCGCUGUCGAUUCAAAUGACAAAAAUGCUGUCUAGCAAAAAAUGUCAAAUGGCAUUGCAAAAUAUACAAGUAACGAAGGAAUCUAGGUUAAUCAAGUAAAUUUUUAGCCUACACAAAUCGAAAAUCGACAUUCCAUUUUAUAAAUAUUUAUGGAUUUAAAAAUAGACGAGCUUAGCAUACAAUACAUUUAUGAACGGCACGUGGAAAUUACUGCUUACGACUGAUAUAAAAUAAUUACAUUCUACGAUUACGUAUAAAAUAUUCGUAAUUAUUGUCAGCUUUAGAAUUGACCUCGAUUAAAUUGAUAUACAAUAAUUACACCUUUCCUAUUUUAUAGGAUCGUUUAUGUAACAUUAAAUUUUGAAUAACAACCACAAAGAUCCUUAUGAAUUUUCAGUAAAUUAAUUGAAUUGUUUUUGUUUUGAAACUAAUCUUGAAUGACGAUAAUCGGGAAAUACUUCCUGAUGUCGGAUACAACGUCAAUGGGGAAAAAACAAAGUGUCUGAAAAAUUAUACAAAUGCAAAAUCCAUGAAUUUCUGUAUCGUGUUAUUAAGUGUAUCCAUGUAUAAUAACUUGAUACAUAUUAAGAUGAAUAAUAAGGUAGUAUUUCGCUGGGUAUUAUUAUUCAGAACCUCGGAAUUUUCCAGCAUACUUCGAUGAAUUCCAAUGACCAAACCUAUUUAAUAAAUUGUAAGUUAAUUAACAAUAUAGGUCGAAUUGUAAAUUUCUCCUCUGAAAAA